rnacentral:rRNA from 1 species
CCUACGGGUGGCAGCAGUGAGGAAUAUUGGUCAAUGGGGGAAACCCUGAACCAGCAACGCCGCGUGAGGGAAGACGGUUUUCGGAUUGUAAACCUCUGUCCUCUGUGAAGAUAAUGACGGUAGCAGAGGAGGAAGCUCCGGCUAACUACGUGCCAGCAGCCGCGGUAAUACGUAGGGGGCAAGCGUUGUUCGGAAUGACUGGGCGUAAAGGGUGUGUAGGCGGUGUAGCAAGUUAGAAGUGAAAUACCUAGAGCUUAACUCAGGUGCUGCUUCUAAAACUGCUAUACUUGAGUGCAGUAGAGGAAAGUGGAAUUCCUAGUGUAGCGGUGGAAUGCGUAGAUAUUAGGAGGAACAUCAGUGGCGAAGGCGACUUUCUGGACUGUAACUGACGCUGAGGCACGAAAGUGUGGGGAGCAAACAGGAUUAGAUACCCUUGUAGUC